rnacentral:rRNA from 1 species
AUACGGAGGGGGCUAGCGUUGUUCGGAUUUACUGGGCGUAAAGAGCGCGUAGGCGGCGUAGAAAGUCGGAUGUGAAAUCCCAGAGCUCAACUUUGGAACUGCAUUCGAUACUACUAUGCUAGAGAUGAGUAGGGGAAAGUGGAAUUCUGGGUGUAGCGGUGAAAUGCGUAGAUAUCCAGAGGAACACCGGUGGCGAAGGCGACUUUCUGGACUCAUUCUGACGCUGAGGCGCGAAAGCUAGGGGAGCAAACAGGAUUAGAUACCCCGGUAGUCC